GUGCUCAAAAUCAGUGACAAGGGUACGCUAGAGCUUCUCAGUGUUAGCAAUACCUCAGUUUGGUCAUCCCAAUCCUCCAAACCAGGGACAAAUAUGAAUCCAGUGGCACAGCUUUUGGAUUCUGGAAAUUUUGUCAUCAGAGAUGAUGUCAGUGGCGACAUCAUUUGGCAAAGCUUUGAUCAUCCUGGAGACACUUGGCUACCGGGAAUGAAAAUCGGUGUGGACCUUGUAACGGGCAGAAAAAGGAACUUGACAUCAUGGAAGAGUUCUGAUGAUCCUUCAUCAGGUUCGUAUACAGUUUGGAUGGACAUCAGUGGAUAUCCACAAUUAUAUACUAUGAAAGAUGAAUCAAGUUUCCAACAGAGGGUUGGAUUUUGGAAUGGACAAGGGUUUACUGGAAUGCUGGGUGUAGGACCAAACAGCUUAUAUGCGUUUGACUUUGUUUUUACUCGCGAGGAGAUUUACUCCAAAUACACAGGAUUUAACAGUUCAAUUCUUACUAGGAUGAUACUCCAUCAACAGGGCAGUUUCACGCAGUUGGUGUGGAUGCCUAGAAUGCAAGCAUGGAAUGUAUAUAUGAUUGUAGCUCGUGAUAUCUGUGACCGCUACGAUUUAUGUGGUCCUUAUGGAAGCUGUAACAUCAACCGUUCGCCAGCGUGUGCGUGUUUACAAGGAUUUGAACCCAAGUUGCCAGAAGAAUGGUCUGCUGCAAAAUGGUCAAAUGGGUGUAAGCAUAACAUCACUACUACCGAUAAAAAUGGGUUCAUUAAGUUUACAAACCUGAAAUUGCCCGACUCACGGGAUUCAUGGUUCAAUAGCACCAUGUCCCUUGAGGAAUGUGGGAUCCUUUGCAGUCGCAACGUCUCUUGUACAGCUUAUGCAAAUAUUGAUGUUAGAGAAGGCGGAAGUGGAUGUUUACAGUGGUCAACUGAGCUGCUUGAUAUCAGAGAGGCUUCGGAAACAGAUUCCUCAGGGCAAAACAUCUACAUAAAAAAGCCCACCACCAACAACUUAAUUCGUAAGUGCAUUUGUCAUUCACUCAUUACAUUGCUUAUGUUUCGCUUGGAUGCUUGAUUUUAUUUCUAAUCAUGUUAAUGUAAGCUCAUUCCUGUUACUGACUACAACUACCACCACUAACGUUUUGAAUGGGUAAAAAGCAGACAAGAAGAAGUCGAACACGAGUCUUAAAGUGGCCAUGUCAAUAGUACUCACAGUCGUUAUGCUUGGCUUUGCACUGAUACUAUAUGCUUGGAGAAGGAAGAAGAAAUCACGUCGUAAAGGUGAGGGCAUCUUACAAGUUCUGAGCUUUCACUUUGUAUAGAUUUAGGGAAGUUGAACCAUUCAUUCAUGUUUCAUAUAAUCUUUAGCAAACAAGAACAAGAAGCAAGAUUCUGAUCUGCCUUUGUUCAGCUUGAGUAAGAUAAUCAAGGCCACCAGUAACUUUUCAAUCCUCAAUAAGCUAGGACAAGGAGGUUUCGGUGCAGUUUACAAGGUAAAAACUCCAAUAUCAAAACAACAAUCAGCAAUGAUAUAUGAACAGUAAGUAAGUGCAUCUGACCUAUGAAUUAAAAAUGAUAUUCAGGGUGUGCUUGAUGAAGGAGGAGAAAUAGCUGUGAAGCGGCUUUCAAAGACAUCAAAGCAAGGACUUGAUGAAUUCCAGAACGAAGUUAAAUGUAUUGCUAAGCUUCAGCAUAGGAAUCUUGUGAAGCUUUUGGGAUACUGCAUUCAAGGAGAGGAAAUGAUGUUGAUUUAUGAAUACAUGCCCAACAAAAGCUUGGACUCUUUUUUAUUUGGUAGGCCCUUCUCAAGAUUAUAUAAUAGCACACACUUGAUUAAAUCAUUAAAAUACGUAAUACAAACUUAAAAAGAAAUUCCUUUUUUUUUUUUUUUGUGGCAGAUGAAAACAACUCCUUGUUACUCGACUGGCGUCAACGCUACCACAUUAUCAAUGGGAUUGCUCGAGGUCUUCUUUAUCUCCAUCAAGAUUCCAGGCUUAGAAUAAUCCAUAGAGAUCUAAAAGCAAGCAACGUUUUGCUUGAUUCCAACUUGAACCCAAAAAUAUCAGACUUUGGCUUGGCUAGAAUGUUCAAAGAAUAUGAGACCGAAGCUAACACAAACAAAGUUGUUGGUACAUUGUAAGAAGCCACUAAUCAUAAUGCAUGUGUUGUAGCUUAACAUAUCUUCUAUAUCUAUCAUUCUACACUUACAUACAAAUAUUCUGCAGGGGUUACAUCUCUCCAGAGUAUGCAGUGAAUGGGCUUUUCUCAGUGAAAUCAGAUGUAUUUAGCUUUGGUGUUUUGGUGUUGGAGAUUGUGAGUGGGAAGAAAAACAGAGGAUUCUCUCAUCAAGAUCACCAUGAUAACCUUCUCGGGCAUGUAAGUUUGGUGAAAAUAAUCUAAUUCCCAUAAUCAACAAAUAGAUCUUAUCAGUAAUCUAAUCUCUUAUUGAGCUUCAAAAUGGUUUAGGCAUGGAGACUUUACAAGGAAGACAAACCUCUGGAGCUGGUUGACACAGCCUUAGGGGACUCGUGGGUUGUUUCUGAAGUAUUGCAAUCAAUACAUGUUGGUUUAUCAUGUGUGCAACAACAUGCAGAUGAUAGGCCAAUUAUGUCUUCUGUGAUUCAUAUGUUGAGUGGUGAGGGUGCAUUAUCUCCGCCACAACCACCUGGCUUUUUCACACAAGUGGCAAAGCCUGAAGAUAAGUCUAACUUAAUCAUACCAGAAGUGUUGGUCUCAGUCAAUGAAGUCACGAUUACACAAUUUGAUGCUCGAUAAUUACAUAAAGGUGUAGACCCAUGACCAAGUACCUGAUCCACAUCCAGUGAUUUGCACACAAAGUGCAUUUCUAUUUCGUUUCCUCUUGGUAUUGUUAUAAAUUCAAUGUGAUUAAAGUAUAGGGCGUAUAGAAACCCAAUCCUGAUUUGGAACUUAAUCUGAUCUAGUAAUGCAGUAAGCUACUUUACAAACUAAGAUUCAUUUCUGUAAGUCUCUACCCAUGGAAAUGAUAGAAAUGAUCAUCACUAGACCUAUGCUACAAACCAUGGAAAUUCACAUAAACCAACAGCGCUGUCACACCAGCUGUUGAUAAAAGUUAACAUCUUGAUUAACCACAAUUGAAAGGCGGAAAGAGGCUAUAACAAUAAAAUAUUCGAAUUUAUGGUCUUGCAAACUACAUGUUUUCUUUAAGAAUUUUCAACAAACACGUAAUUGGCAAUGUAGGUUACAGUCAGCAAUCGGAAUCUAAUCAAGAUUGGGAAAAUUGCAGCACAGAUAAAAUGUGAUGAUUCAGAGAUUACCUUAUUAUCUCAAGCAAUUCCUUAUUCAUUCCAUCUUACAGCUCCCUCACAGCUAACAAUCAAUAUCAAGAUCAGGUCAAGGAGAACGGGUACAGGAUAUAGGGUGGCAAACGUAAGUGUCAUUGGUUGAAACAGGUUGAGUGCUUGAACCUGAUAUAGUGUGGUGUCGACUUGUUUUAUUUUUGUGUUGCAACGAGUUUAGAGUUUAGAACUCGUAAUUACGUAAUGAUGAAGAGUUGAAGUAUUAAAUAAAUUGAAAGAGUAGGGAAAGAAAAUCAAUCAAAAUAAGUUUAAAGGAAUUAAAUCAUAUUGAAAGAGAAAUUAGCGAUUAAGAAAAGUAAACAAGUGGCUAAUUAGUGUUUUCUACAUUGUAAUUGAGAAAUGGGUAGCCGUCAAUUUUUCAGCCAAGUGUGAUGCAUGUUAUCUUGCGCCGGAGCUCAUAAAUUGUGGAAGAAAUAGAGGUGUCGUAGGUCAAAGUCAAAGGUUUACUUUUCUUUUCUUUCCUUUAACUUUGCAUUUGAGUUGAUUUUGAUUUUUUUAUUUUUGCUUCUCAGAUUUUUGAUCGCCCAUCUUCACUAAUGGAAGAAGACCCACAUAAUCCAAAAUUUGGACCUGUAGUAAGUGCAAAAGUCCUUGGUGCCCCUCAAUUUCUCCUUUGCAUAUUGCCAGAAAGAAAAAAUUCUGGCUUAUAUGGUAUAAAAUAUAAAUUCUAUUUUAGCAAAUAUAAAACAAUUUUAUGAGAUGUGGGAUUUUUAGCCCUAAUUUUCACUCACUAAAUUGUGCACGUAGCUCCUUCGGUUAAGCCAACAUGCUUCUCUUCUCAUCUUUGGCUAUGUAGAAACCAUCGACAAAUUGUAGGUAUGGGUUUGUCGAUCAUCAAUUCCUCUUAUUUUGCUUCUUUUAUGCCCUUCGAUUUAUGAGUCCAGAGGCUAUAAUUUUUUAUGUUCCACUUUUGAUUGUUAUUGAUGUGUUUGGUUUUACUUUUCUAUUUUACCAACAUUACGAGAUACUUAUUUUGCAGUAUCAUAUCGCCGACAUUUGACCGUCAUAUUUUGAUUUGAAAGGAAUAUUUAAUGAUCGUUUUUUAGCAACUUUCUUUGGUUUGAAGUUUUUUUCCCCAUUUGGGAUUAAUUGUCGUUUCCAACUUCUCUAAAAUUACACAGAAAGUUAAUACAUGGCUUGAUUUUGAAUGGUUUUGCCACUUUCGACCAGCUCAACAUCCGUCCAAUUAGCUUUCUUAGUCAACGCCGACCAUUGAAGUGGAAAGUACCAACGAAUUUGUUUAGCGUCUUGUAGAUGAACUUACAUCGGUUUCAAUUGUUUGUUUUAUUUUGUAUUUGAAGAAACUCACCUUUGAACUCCUAAUUUGUACAGAGGAACAAUGGUUUCAACCUGAUUGUACUCUAUAAGUAUAGUUUUUUGGCGUUCGACAACUCGCUUGGACUUACAGGUUAGUCAUCUCUUUGUGCAAGUUAUUCUACCAGAGUAGUCAAUUUGUAAAAAUUGAUGCAACACUAACGUCAAUUUUGUUCCUAAUUAGAAAUAAUCCAAAACAAUUUCUUACCAUACCUUUAAUUCAUAAAUUGAUCAUUCUGUUAUGUGAUACUACUUGAUCAGGCAACUCCAAUAUUCACAUCCACAUCAACAGAGAGCAGCUUCACAUAUAUUUUAGUCAACUAGCCAUCAAGUUCAUCUGAUUCAAGUAUUGGUGUUACAAUCGUUUAUAAAUCCAGUUAACAAUGAACACCCUUACAGUUAACAUCAAAAAACAAUAAACUGUAUUAAUCUUCUUUCUUGUGCUUGAAAUAGAAUCAAAAACUUCCAUUAAUGGUGCUACAUCCUGUAGCCUUGGCAUAAAUUUAGACAAUGUGAUAGUUAUUGGUUAUUUCUACAGGAAGAGAUAGAAAACAAAAUACAACUUGCAAUGAUUUGGCUAUAAAAAUUCUUCAAAGAUAUAAUUACUCUAUCUCAGUAUUGAAAACAACAUCAAAUCACCUAUCUGGAGGUAUCCAUUCUUUGCUACUUCACAUUAUUUGAAAUUUGUUUUAUAAAAUCUAAGGGUAAAAUAGGCAUUUACCCUCUUUCAGACAGAUUAUCAACCUGGAAAUGAAAGAAAAAAAAUAUGUAUACAAUAUUUUCCACCUGGAAAUGAAAGAAAAAAAAUAUGUAUACAAAAUUUAUAGAGAUCCAAUUCGAUAAGCAAGGAAGGAUAUUAGGGGCUGCAGUCAGACUUAUGUUCNUGUUCUAGAAAGAUCACAUGUUUUCCAAGUAUCUGACCCCGAGAGAAACUAUCAUUCCUUUUACAUGCUUUGUGCAGCACCCCCAGAGGUAACUUCAAUUAUUCUAGAUUUUUCUAUCUACCUUUUUUUUAUAUUUACAAUGUAUCUAAGAGUAUCAAUAAAUGUUUCCAGGAUGCAAAGAAAUUUAAAUUAGGAUAUCUGAGAUUGUUUCAUUCUUUGGAUCCAACUAUUUGCUAUGAAGUAGCAAAUAUUCAUGAUGGAAGAGAAGAGUUGGAAACACGAUUGUUGAUUUUUGAUUUGUACGUUUCAAUGGGGAUUCAAUGUUGAUUUUUCUGAAGCGGUUACUGAGGUAAGAGACGACAUAGUAGCAGUGGUAGCCUCCUAAUGUAAAGUAUAUUAUUAUUUUUUGCAUUUUUCAUUAUGUGUUGACAAUUUUUGUUUUGCAGAGAGUUCACCAACUACAAAGGGUAGGGGUCGUGAUGUUCAUAUAUCAUCUAGAGAAUAGAACCGUAUAGCAUUUCCAAGAUAAAUGGUCAACAAGAACAGAGCAGCAACCUUUAACAAAGUAGCAACCUUUCGGUCAACAAGAGGAAUCAUUAGAUUUUGUGAUUCGUGUCCCGUUGUAACGAAAAAGCUGAACGUCAAAUACAUGAAAUGGAAUCAUCCAUUGUUUACAUUUAUAGUGUCUGGUAUGCUGGAAUGGAAUCAUCCAUUCCAUCGGAAUGACAUGAAAAAAUGUUUGUUUCUCUUAACAGAAUGGAAUAGGCUAUUCAUUAUGGUGUCCAUUCCAUUCAAUUCAACUAAACACAUUUUUUAAUCAUGAAACAAGUGGAGGUUGAUGAUCUUCAAGAACUGAUAUUACCUCAAGAGCACAGAAUACCAACAAAUAUUACAUAGUAUUUCCGAUGAGAUUCCUUCUGCCAUCUUUUGUCUUUAACAUAUUUUACGACUUUUUGACAUAUUUCAUUUUGUUGCUUUUACAGAUUAUGGAUUAUAUCAUCAGUAUUCAAAAAUUUUGUAUUAGAGAGCAUUCAACAAAAGUAGCAUAUCAUGUACUCUGUAACAAAAUUAGCGACCAACUGUAUACUUAUAAAACAACAUAAGAGUUGUACAAUUUUUUUUUUGAGGAACGUGAUUCGUUUGCAAUCAACCGAUGGCUUCCAACCCCCGCAACGCGGGGAAGCUUCACUAGUUUCUAUCAAUAUCUAAUAACCUUAAGCUACAAGUCUUAUCGUCUAAUAAUACUAGGUUAUAACCCAUGAAAACCACGGGUAAAUUUUUUUUAAAACAUUUAUUUUAUUAAUAAGAGUUAAGUUUGUUUAAAACUUUUUGUAUUGAUUAUUUAAAAUUAAUAUACAUUUAUAAAACAUAAUAUAAAAUUGAGUAUAUUGUAAAUGAUUUAUAAAACAGAAUAUAAAUUUGAAUAUAGUUCAAAGAGAUACACUAUGAAUAAUAUAAAUGACAUUGAUAUAUAAAAGAUAAAAUAUAACAAAAAUGUAAUAAUAAUAAAUAAAAAAACACAAUAGUUUGGCUGUAAAAACUACGAAUUAUUUAUAAAUUUUUAAAAAAUUCCUUAUAUACAACAUUGAAAAUUUUAUUUGUAAGUCUACCAUCCUUAUAAAAAAUUAACAAUUUCAAUCAUUCUCUACUUUGAACUCUAGAUAAGACAACAUACAACUGUCAAUAUAAAAAAACAGGAUCUUUGAGAUAUAGACCAACCUUCGAUAAGACAACAUUCAAGUGCACACAUAGAGUGAUACAUAAUUAAAAGAAAUUACAUGCAAUACAACUAUCAAUUAGAAAAAAAAGGUAUGAAUUUUCUGCCUUCCCGAUUACAACUUAGCAUUUUAUAUUACAUACAUUGGUAUUUAGAAUUAACACAUAUCGAUUAAUGAUGAUGCAGAGAUAGAGUGAUACAUAAUUAUAUAAAAAAAUUAUACGCAAUACAGCUAUCACUUAGAAAAAAAAAGGUAUGAAUUUUCUGCCUUUCCGAUUACAGAUUACAGGCUACAGAUAUAGAAUUUUCUGCCUUUCCGAUUAUUUAGAAUUAACACAGAUCGAUUAAUGAUGAUGCGGAGAAAACAUUACAGAUUACAGAUACAUGGUAUAUUUCAAAUUCAACAUAGAUUAUAUGAAUGAUAUGGACAUUUCCAUUGUAUAAGAUGAUGAAUAUAAAAUACUAACCUGAUAUUCGACAGGAAUUUACUUUGAAGCAAAGUAAUAUUGUUUCUUAGUGAUGAAGAAGUCACCAAAGUUUUGAAAACCAGUUUUUUAGUUGAACCGGUAUGGUGAGCGGUUCCCGGUUCGACCGCCGAGUCAACCGGUUUCUAUAUUUUUCAUGUCUUUUCUUAUUUUCCUACACAUACAUACAUAUAUAAUUCAUAAAUUUUAUGUUUACAAGUUCAAACAUUAAAAAUACACAUACAAAAAAGUUGUAGAUGAAUCCAAAUACAUUAAAAUAGCACAUAAUCAUAAGUUUUAGUAUUUUAUAUCAAUCCAUAUACGUCAAAAAGAAAAUAAAAUAUAAUACCAAAACAAGAUAUAGUUUUAAAUGAAUACAAACACAUCAAAAAAACUUUAUAACAUUUACCAUAUAUUUUUAUUUAUAGAAAACUAAAUAGAUUUGAAAAAAAAUCACACAAAGUUUAUUGUGUAAAUGGUUCUUUUUCAUGUGUUUUUUUUCGGUUUAACCGGUUCAACCGGUUUAUUUUGACCGCUUCAACUGGAUUUUCUAAAAACCGGCCGGUUCAAUCCGGUUCAGAAAUCGACAUAAAAUCGGUGAUAGUUGAACCNAUAUAAAACCAGUGAUAAUUGAACCUCUCACUCCACCGGUUCCCGAUCCAACCGGUUCGACCGGCGGUUCAAACCGGUUUUUAAAACAUUGGAAGUCACCGGAAUUAUAGACUUGGUUUAUAUACACACGAAAUUAUGAUAUGUAUUUUAGAAAUGAUUUAGGAUGAUAUCAGUUUCCAUAAAUAUGGAAUGUUGAAUUAUUGAAUAUGAGGCUAAUUUCAGAUUUGAAAAAAUAAUCGGCAAAACUAAUAAAUCCUAUAAACCAAUUUUAUUCACAAUUAAUUCCGAGUUAAUUCCUUAAAUCUUGGAGUUAGUUAGUUAAUUUUGGAUUGAAAUAAUGAAUCCCAAUAAAGAGGGAUUCUUACCAAUUCAUACCAAAUUUAUGUAUAUCUAGUUUUGUAUCAUUUAAAAGGGCAGGAAUUUAAAAGCGUGAGAAAUUUUGUAUUGCAAAGGAAGGACAUCAUGGUAAAAUCACAAUGACCGGAUUCUGCAAUAGGAGUGGCACGUGGAUGAAGGUUUCUUUUAUUAAGAAGGAAGAUAUAAUGGAAUCCCAACCCUAAUAAAAGAAACCAUUUUGUCUACGUGUCAUCUUCUUAGUUCAAAAAUUUACAAAGUAAACUUUCAAUUUUGCCCUUUGCCUUUUAAAUUCGUGUUUAUAAUCAAUUUUUUUUUCUUUUUUUUUUCCUGAAAUUCAAGAACAAAUUUUCUGUCAAUCCCUCCAAACUUCUUGCGUAAAACCCUACCGCCUCCCAUCAUCUCUAGAGCAUUAUCGCCACUAGAGCCAUCCUCGCUAUGGCCAUCGUCGGCUUCCGUGAUUCACCACCGCACUAUCCUUAGUCACCACCAUUGCACUCCUCCAUUAAGAAACCCUAAAUCUGAUGUUAUUCGUCACUCCACCUUUUGUUGAAGAUUUGUCCGAUACUGGAAAAAUUGUUUUAAUUACAUCUUCCGCUGAUUACACUCAUUUAGAAUAGGAAUUUUUGCCAAUUUCUUGCUUGAAAUCGGUCUUCCGUUUCAUCGACACUGCUAUGAUGUCAUCUCUAUUUCUCCGAUGCCUCAUCUAAUUGACACUUUUCGUUCACUAAUGUGUUGAAAUGGUUACAUGAACCCUAAUAGGCUAUGUGAAUGGGGAGAACUUUUGAACCAGAUUUUAUCCAAUGUGGGAAUGUGGGAUUGAAAAGGGUUUCCAGCUACCAUAUUCCCUGUUCCUACACCUAAUACUCUCUCAUCUCAGACAGCCACCGACUGUAACCACCUGUGGGCCUGUGUAUCGCCUACAACUACCCCGUCUGUUCAUCUUCAUAUUUCCAUCCUUGCAAUUGUCGCUGGACUUCUAGGACCAUAAGAGGGGCAUGGAGGAUGGUGGUUGAAAUGGAUCUCCCAAGAGAACAAAGGUAUUAUUUUAUUUCACUUUUCACAUUUUUUUCAUAUAGUAGUGGGUAGAUAUUAUAAUCAUCUUUCUUUAAUUUCUUGGUUUGUUUUGCUAAAUGCUUUAUAUACAUAUGCAAAUAAAUCUUCCACACUAGAUCCUAAAUAUGAGGUGAACUUUUUUAGUGUUGAUGAAUGUUGAACUAAUUCUCAUGUACGUAGGCACAUAUAAAUUCCAUGAUAGUUGCUCUUUCAAAACAAUAAAUUCCAUUAUAGUUGUGAAAAGUUAAUUCUUUACAUAAAAUGUAAAAAAAAGUAAGACAUGCGAUCGAUUAUCUCGUCUUUAUCCUUUUGCUUCAAUCUAUUUAACAUGAAAUUAGAGAUUUAAUAUGUGUAAAAAAUAUGUGUACAUUUUCACAAAUAUUGCUGUAAAUAUUUGUGGGUUCACUUAUGUCGGUUACCAAGAUCAAGAAAUUGGAACAAUCAAUGACCAAAAUAAAAUUAAAAUUACUCAGUCCUGUUUGUGUUUUUCUCCCUUUCAGAUAUUGAUUUAUGAAAAUUUUAGCAAGUUAUUAUAUUUCCCUCGGUUCCAUUUUGUUAAGACUUUAGUGGUCCAUGGAUUUUGUGAUUUACAAUUGGAUAUUUUUCAGCAAACAUAAGAUACUUUAAUGGUUCAUGAAUGGUUUGAUUUUUGAAAAAAAAAAAGUUGUUCUUAGGCUCUGUCAACUUUAUUGAGCUAUAAGGCUGAAAAUUUAUAUUGUUAUGCAUUAAACAUAAAAAAAUUGGUUUUUGAUGUCAAACAUGAAAGUACAUAGCUGUUUUUGUAGUAUAGUGUUUUAUUACAUUUCUUUCCAUUAUAGCAAGAAAUAGUAAUGUACAUUUCUUUGGGCCUCACCUUUAAAGCUUGCAGCACUUAAGGUGUCUAUUAUUAUUAUUAUUAUUAUUAUUUUAUUUUAUUUUUUUGUUAUAGAUUAGUGCUUUGACACAGUUGAAUGUCAAUGAAAACUUAUCAUACAUGUACCUCAUAGAUUAACACAGAGAAUACGACUCGGUCAAUUUUUUUUUUUGCUCUUAUUUUAAGGUUUUAUAUCAAAUAUGGUCUCUUCAGACUUUAUGAUUAGUUCACUACUUUCUUUUGCAUUAUUAUGUAAGUAUUUAAUACAUCUUUAUUUAAAACUAAUGAUGAGUUGAUGGGAUUUUGGUUAAGUUUAUUACUUACUGUUAUACCUUGAAUCUCAUGAUAACCAAGUGUUUAAAAGAAUUGACUUUAUUGAGAAAUUAAUCGAUAAAGUGCAACGGUAUGCAAAUAAUGAGUUUGAAUUAAAUAACAAAUGUUUUUUUUUGUUUGGUUAAAUACAAUAAAUAAUAGUGUACGUUUGUUGCUUUUGUUCUAAGGGCUGCUACUUUUAUUUCAUACAGUUUGACAGCUGGGUCAUAGCAAAUUAGGGCUAUUGCAAAGAGGACUAACAACUUCAGUUAUGCUAUCUCAUNNNNNNNNNNNNNNNNNNNNNNNNNNNNNNNNNNNNNNNNNNNNNNNNNNNNNNNNNNNNNNNNNNNNNNNNNNNNNNNNNNNNNNNNNNNNNNNNNNNNAUUCUCAUGUACGUAGCCUCAUAUAAAUUCCAUUAUAGUUGCUCUUUCAAAACAAUAAAUUCCAUUAUAGUUGUGAAAAUUUAAUUCUUUACAUAAAAUGUAAAAAAAGUAAGACAUGUGAUGGAUUAUCUCAUCUUUAUCCUUUUGCUUCAAUCUAUUUAACAUGAAAUUGGAGAUUUAAUCUGUGUAAAAAAUCUUUGUACAUUUUCACACAAAUAUUGCAGUAAAUAUUUGUGGGUUCACUUAUGUCGGUUACCAAGAUCAAGAAAUUGGAACAAUCAAUGACCAAAAUAAAAUUAAAAUUACUCGGUCCUAUUUGUGUUUUUCUCCCUUUCAGAUAUUGAUUUAUGAAAAUUUUAGCAAAGUUAUUAUAUUUCCCUCGGUUCCAUUUUGAUAAGACUUUAGUGGUCCAUGGAUUUUGUGAUUUACAAUUGGAUACUUUUCAGCAAACUUAAGAUACUUUAAUGGUUCAUGAAUGGUUUGAUUUUUGAAAAAAAAAGUUGUUCUUAGGCUCUGUCAACUUUAUUGAGCUAUAAGGCCGAAAACUUAUAUUGUUAUGUACUAAACAUAAAAAAGUUGGUUUUUGAUGUCAAACAUGAAAGUACAUAGUUGUUUUUGUAGUAUAGUGUUUUAUUACAUUUCUUUCCAUUAUAGCAAGAAAUAGUAAUGUACAUUUCUUUGGGCCUCACCUUUAAAGCUUGCAGCACUUAAGGUGUCUAUUAUUAUUAUUAUUAUUAUUAUUUUAUUUUAUUUUUUUGUUAUAGAUUAGUGCUUUGACACAGUUGAAUGUCAAUGAAAACUUAUCAUACAUGUACCUCAUAGAUUAACACAGAGAAUACGACUCGGUCAAUUUUUUUUUUUGCUCUUAUUUUAAGGUUUUAUAUCAAAUAUGGUCUCUUCAGACUUUAUGAUUAGUUCACUACUUUCUUUUGCAUUAUUAUGUAAGUAUUUAAUACAUCUUUAUUUAAAACUAAUGAUGAGUUGAUGGGAUUUUGGUUAAGUUUAUUACUUACUGUUAUACCUUGAAUCUCAUGAUAACCAAGUGUUUAAAAGAAUUGACUUUAUUGAGAAAUUAAUCGAUAAAGUGCAACGGUAUGCAAAUAAUGAGUUUGAAUUAAAUAACAAAUGUUUUUUUUUGUUUGGUUAAAUACAAUAAAUAAUAGUGUACGUUUGUUGCUUUUGUUCUAAGGGCUGCUACUUUUAUUUCAUACAGUUUGACAGCUGGGUCAUAGCAAAUUAGGGCUAUUGCAAAGAGGACUAACAACUUCAGUUAUGCUAUCUCAUAUACUUUUGGAAGCAAAAAACUUGAAGAGCACUUUGUUAAUAGUUGCUCAUGCAAUGUUUAAAGCUUGAAGUUGAUUAUGACAUGCUCAACUGUAAUUUAACAUGUUUUAUUAUUUGGUGUUUAUCGAUUUUUACAUUUUUCUAAAUUUAAUGUUUUUAAUCAAGAAACCUUACAUGCAUUUAUUUGUAAAGUGGUAUUAUAAAAGAAUAUAUUAAGAUAAACUUAUAUAAACAAAUUAUGAUUGGCUAAGAGCAUGCUAAACAUAAAAAUAGAAUGAUCUCUUAUGAAUUAAAAGGAGUAAAAAAUUCUACUAUAAAAAUAUAAUAGAAUUUAUUGUGAAAAUGUUUUGAAGUUAAUGGAGAAAUGUAAUGUAUUGUUUUUUUGAUUUCUAAAAUCUUUUUGUUACAAUAUUUUUUUUAAAGUACAGUUGAAACAGGGAAUAUAAAAGUGGGAUGUUAUAAUAAACAAAUAAAUAAUAAUAUGUUUCUUAUUUUUGUAUUUAACAUAAUGUAUUUAUAUUAUAAAAUUGCUUUUAUAUNUUGCGCGUUUGGUCCCUAACUUGUUUUUUUAACUCGGAAGGUCCCUACUAUUUGUUUUUGUUACACACUUAGUCCCUACUGUUUGUUUUUGUUACGCGUUUGGUCCCUGUCUUAACUAAAAACAUUAUUAUUUAAAUAGGGAAAAAUUGUGGGUUAUGUAAGGUAAGGUGGGAGGGUGAGGUUGAAGGUGUGUUUAUUUAAAUAAAUUAAAAAAUUAAUGGCAAAUAAUGGCAGAAAAUUAUUUUUCAUUACUUCCAACUCGAAAGCAUAUGUAAUUAAUUUUUCCCUCUUCCUUUUCUUUUCCUUUGCUUUCCUCAAUUUAAAAACUUGAAACUUUUUCCAUAUCUAAAAGAACCGAAAAUAAUUGCAUAGACGUCAAUAUGUCUGGGGUUCUCUAAAAAGAGCUAUAAUUGGUCUAAAACUAAACAAAGAAAUUCAAAUCUAAGUUAUUUUGUAUUUUGUGCAAAAUUCUAUAGACAUAAGAGAUGAGACAAAUCAAGCAACCAUAACCAUUAAAAAAAAAGUCCACGAUGGCAACUAGAAAAACUGACCAAGUCUUCUAGAACUAAAUUUUAUUGUGUGGUAUUGCAUGGGUUGGGAAAUGCUAUGCCCACAUUGACUAAGUCUUUAAUACAUGAAAGGAGGAGAUUAAAGAGCAUAAGACUCAUAAGAUUAAAUGUCAACUGUAGAGGUGAGAUCAAAUCGUAUGGAGCUUCUUGCCAUGAUUUGGUUCUACUGCUGUGUUGUACUGAAAACUAGUAGUGCAACAGACACCAUGUUUCCAAAUCAGCCUCUCAAGGAUGGUGACACCCUUGUUUCAGAAGCUGAAAUAUUUGAACUGGCAUUCUUUGGCCUUGGGAAUUCAACUUCUCGGUACCUAGGGAUACGGUAUAAGCAUGUGCCAGACAGUACCAUCGUAUGGGUUGCUAAUAGAGAGGUUCCACUUGCUGACCGCAUUGGUGUACUCAAAAUCAAUGACCGAGGAACUUUACAGCUUCUCAAUCUUAGAAAUACCUCAAUUUGGUCAUCCAAAUCCUCCAAACCAGGGACAAAUAUGAAUCCUGUGGCACAGCUAUUGGAUUCUGGAAAUCUAGUCAUCAGAGAUGAUAUCAGUGGUGACCUCAUUUGGCAAAGCUUUGAUCAUCCUGGAGACACUUGGCUACCAGGAAUGAAAAUCGGUGUGGACCGUGUAAUGGGCACAAAAAGGAGGCUGACAUCAUGGAAGACUUCUGAUGACCCUUCAUCAGGUUCUUAUUCAGUUUGGAUGGACAACAUUGGAUAUCCGCAAUUGUAUACUGCUGAAGAUGGAUCAAACAUGCAACCGCAGAGGGUUGGAUAUUGGAAUGGGUUGGGGUUUACUGGGUUGCAUGGUUUGGAACGCAACAUCUUCUACGCGUUUGACUUUGUUUCAACUGAUGAGGAGAAUUACUACAACUUCACACUGUUAGACAGUUCAUAUCUUACAAGGGUAAGAUUGGAUCAACAAGGCAACGUUUUGCAGUUUGUUUGGGACAAGACAGAUGAAAAAUGGAGGGUAUAUAUGGAGCUUUUCGUGGAUGCUUGUGACAGGUACGCUGUAUGUGGUUCUUAUGGAAGCUGUAACAUCAAUAAUGCGCCAGCAUGUGCGUGUUUACAAGGAUUUGAACCAAAGCUGCCAAUGGAAUGGUCCAUAGCAGACUGGUCAAAUGGGUGUAAGCAUAAAAUAUCGGCGACUGAUGAAAAUGGGGAAAACUUCAGGAAAUUUACAAACCUGAAAUUGCCCGACUCAAGGUAUUCAUGGUUUGAUACUACCAUUUCCCUUGAGGAAUGUGGGAAACUUUGUGCUCGCAAUGGCUAUUGUACAGCUUAUGCAAACAUUGAUGUUAGAGGGAGCGGAAGUGGAUGUUUACAGUGGUCAGGUGAGCUGUUUGACAUCAGAGACGCUCCGGAAGGAGAUGUUUCAGGGCAAGACAUCUACAUAAAAAUGUCCAACACCAACAACUUAAUUCGUAAGUGUCCUUCUCCUGCUUGCUUAAACCUCAUGAUGCUAUCUAAACUUACAUGAAUAAACCUGGUACAUUAUACUUUUU
rnacentral:lncRNA from 1 species